UACGUAGGAGACGAGCGUUGUCCGGAAUUACUGGGCGUAAAGCGCACGUAGGCGGCUUGGUAAGUGCGGUGUGAAAGCCCCCGGCCUAACCGGGGAACUGCAUCGCAGACUGCCAGGCUCGAGAGCGGGAGGGGAGACUGGAACUCCUGGUGUAGCGGUGAAAUGCGCAGAUAUCAGGAGGAACACCGAUGGCGAAGGCAAUCCCCUGGGCCUGCACUGACGCUCAUGCACGAAAGCGUGGGGAGCAAACAGGA
rnacentral:rRNA from 1 species